UUCAUCCCCUUCUUAAAUUAGUACCGACGCAGCCAUGCGACAAACUUCCUGCGUUAGCUAACUCGCUCGCUCGCUCACUCACCCAAUCAAAGCCAAUGCCAAUUCUCUCCAUGUCUUCGCUACACUCUCUUCUCCUCCUCCCACUGAUCUCUAUGAUGUUAAGUUUGGUUAUAGGUUCAACUGAUGGAGGGUUCUGCUCCGCACCUUCAACAUUCGAUGAGGAAGAAGCUUCCAAAUCUCUCUACUGGAAAGUUACAAAUCCCACUCUUUCCCCUUCUCAUCUCCAAGACUUGCCAGGUUUCACGCGCAGUGUUUAUAAAAGAGAUCAUGCUUUAAUAACUCCUGAAAGUCAUGUAUUCAGUCCUUUACCUGAGUGGACCAAUACCUUAGGGGCAUAUCUAAUCACACCGGCUAUGGGCUCACACUUUGUUAUGUACUUAGCAAAGAUGCAAGGAAAAUCAAGAUCAGGGCUCCCUCCUCAUGAUGUAGAGAGGUUCAUAUUCGUGGUUCAGGGUUCUGUGAUUCUCACAAAUGCAUCUAGUGCCAGUCACAAACUAAUGGUCGAUUCAUAUGCUUAUCUACCUCCCAAUUUUGAACACUUUGUGGAGUGUGAUGGAUCUGCUACUCUUGCUGUCUUUGAACGAAGGUAUGCUUUUCUAGACAAUCUAAGUACUGAACUGAUUGUGGGUUCAACAGACAAGCAGCCACUUCUUGAGACUCCAGGGGAGGUUUUUGAACUUAGGAAGCUUCUUCCUCCAUCAUUACCUUAUGACUUCAAUAUCCAUAUUAUGGAUUUUCAACCCGGUGAAUACCUUAAUGUGAAGGAAGUCCAUUAUAAUCAGCAUGGUUUACUGCUAUUAGAGGGCCAUGGUAUUUAUCGUCUGGGUGAUAGCUGUAUCUUAGGUGCGCAUAGGAAAGAGUGAAUAAUAUCAUGCCUUUAUAUUUAAGGAAAAGAAAAAGAAUAACAUCAUGCCUUCAAGUUAGGGUAUCCAGUCCAAUCUGGUGAUGUCAUCUGGAUGGCCCCAUUCGUGCCUCAGUGGUAUGCUGCACUUGGUAAAACCCGGUCACGGUAUUUGCUGUAUAAAGAUGUCAACAGGAAUCCAUUGUAAUGACAUGCAACAAAAGAUUUGCUCUUGGGCUUCAUUAAGUGAUUGUGGCAAGAAAAGGUCAAUUUAUGGAGCAGUAAACAUGCUGCUAAAGCCUAUAAACAUUACGAUGGAUGGGUAACAGUCAUCCUUGUUUAAUCUGGCUCAUGGUAGCAGAAAACCAAGCUUGUAGAAUUUACGUGGUAAAUGAAUUGACGUGCUGCCCUCUUGUAAAAUAAAAGAUUAUUGAACAUCGGUGGAUACUGGAUAGUUUCUGUUAAUCACAAACCUGCAAAAGUUAUACUUUGAUUAA